UACAGAGGUCCCAAGCGUUGUUCGGAUUCACUGGGCGUAAAGGGUGCGUAGGCGGGCAGAUAAGUCAGUGGUGAAAUACCUGAGCUUAACUUGGGAACUGCCAUUGAUACUAUUUGUCUUGAAUGUCGUGGAGGUUAGCGGAAUAUGUCAUGUAGCGGUGAAAUGCUUAGAGAUGACAUAGAACACCUAUUGCGAAGGCAGCUAACUACGCGAAUAUUGACGCUGAGGCACGAAAGCGUGGGGAUCAAACAGG
rnacentral:rRNA from 1 species